UACGGAGGGUGCAAGCGUUGUCCGGAUUUAUUGGGUUUAAAGGGUGCGUAGGCGGCCGUUUAAGUCCGGGGUGAAAGCCCACUGCUCAACAGUGGAACUGCCCUGGAAACUGGACGGCUUGAGUACAGACGAGGGCGGCGGAAUGGAUGGUGUAGCGGUGAAAUGCAUAGAUACCAUCCAGAACCCCGAUUGCGAAGGCAGCUGCCUAGGCGACAUCUGACACUGAGGCACGAAAGCGUGGGGAGCGAACAGG
rnacentral:rRNA from 1 species